UACAGAUGGACUUUUUGGUGCCCAUUGUGGAGAGGUCUGUGGUCAUUGCCUGAAUUUAGAUCAAUGUCAUCAUAUAAAUGGAUCAUGUCUGAGUAGAUGCGAGAAAGGAUACGAAGGCCAAUACUGUAACAAAACAUGCCAAACAGGAUUUUUUGGAGAGGAUUGUGUCAACAGAUGUAACGUUACAUGUAAGGGAUGUAACAGAACAAAUGGUAUUUGUGAAAAUGGGUGUCAUCCAGGAUGGGAAGGCGCUUAUUGUCAUCAAGCAUGCAGAGAUGGAUACUUUGGAGAAAACUGUGUGAACAAGUGUAAUCAAACAUGUAAAGGAUGUAACAGAACAAGCGGUGUUUGUGAAAAUGGAUGUUUUGCUGGUUGGAAAGGACUGUACUGUC